AACCGGGACUCAGCCAAUCACAAGCCAGCAUUCAAAUGGUUCUGACCAAUGGCAGGCAGAGCUGCUCCGAGCUGCCGGCCAAACUGCACCGGGAGAUCAUAGACGUGUCUACGCCGCUGAGUGUGACGGUCCUUGGCGUACCCGGUGACCCCGAUAUCGCGCUGCGACGGGACUCGGUAACGCGUGCGGUGGCGACGGCGGUGAUGGC
rnacentral:lncRNA from 1 species